GAGUUGAGCAGGGGAGCUGUGGGACAAGUGUGAAAGCCAUUGCUAGUGAGAAAAAGCAAUAGUAGCAAUUAGAUAGUGAAACUGAACAGUGCCCUUUAAUAAAUAAUUCACCUCACUUCCCAAUCGUAUCUACACUGUGCCUCUCCUCCAAACCCACUUACAGACCCUCUUCUGCCCUUGGAGUCAUUAUUGCCCUCAAUUCAAGCGUCUGAAAGCAUGCCUGAUGAAACGCAAUGCUCCGUUCCUGGCUAGCUGCCACUGGCCACACCCUACAAAGAAUCCCAACAGCCCAGUUCAAAGACUUGUCAUUAGAGAUGCUGUUCUAUCCAGCCAGCCAACAAUUCUCAAGUGGAGUGGCUCUAGAAACUCAGCUCUUGAAAACAUCACGGAGCUUUAUCAGUGACAAGGCCAAGAGGUUGCAACUACUGUUAUCUUUGGACACACAGAAGAAUCACCUGGUCCAGAUCCAGUUCGUGGGAAGUUUCCAACUGCCCAGUCGGAGGUCUCUCCACUGGAGGCAUCAUGCUAACCAGAGAUCUGAGGUGUUCCAGACUUUCUUCAGCAUGGCAAUAUUUCCUGUCUUUGACCGAUUUUCCUUGGGCCAAGCUCCUUAGAAGUCUUGGCUUCUCUGCCAAAGAGACCUGGGAUCAUCAGGCAAUAAUCCUCCAAUUUAUUGCCCCUGUUCUACAUUCCUGAUCCAUGACUAUUUGCAGACCUUGGGACCAGCUUCCCAAAACCCAGCAUAAGCUGCUUUAAUUUUAUCAU
rnacentral:lncRNA from 1 species